GAGAACCUGGGGACGCUAGGUUCCGGAACCUGACCUGAGCUGGGGCCUGUGCUUCCAGCGGGUGGUGGGGGGCCUGGUGUGCUGGCAUCAAGUAAGCCGACUACCUCGGCAAAGGCUUAGGGACAAGAGACCAGCAGCCUGAACUGGCUGGGGCAUCCGGAAGGCUUAGAUCUUGUGGCCAAGAGUUCAGACCGUGGCGAAGUGGAGAGUGACAUGCAGUUGGAUGGCGGUGACUGCGUGGUCCUGCAACCCUGGUUCCAGUCUGGCAAGCAUUGUAGACCUGGCUGCUGAAGACUGACGGGGCCCAGGGUCCGCUGCCCCCACCGCCAUCACCACCUCGGAACCCAGGGUAACGCUGUCAGUCUUUGAUGAUGUCAGAAGUGGGAUCCAAAGUAGAGCUUAUAAUGACACCUAGGAGUGCUGAGUGACCAAGCAAGGUACCCACCAGGCCGAUUAUGUCCAUUGUUCUCUUGGAGCAGCUGGUCAUCAUGGGAAAGGGUGCCACACUGGGAAUGCAAGCUGUCCUUGCUUCUGAACCAAGACUACUAUUGUGC
rnacentral:lncRNA from 1 species